CCUACGGGAGGCUGCAGUGAGGAAUAUUGGUCAAUGGCCGGAAGGCUGAACCAGCCAAGCCGCGUGAAGGACGAAGGUGCCAAGCAUUGUAAACUUCUUUUGUCAAGGGACAAAAUCAGGCGCGAGAGCCUGACCGAGGGUACGUGAAGAAAAAGAAUCGGAUAACUCCGGGCCAGCAGCCGCGGUAAUACGGAGGAUGCGAGCGUUAUCCGGAUUGAUUGGGGUUAAGGGGUGCGUAGGCGGGCUGUUAAGUCAGCGGUAAAAGGCCGGGGCUCACCCCCGGCGUGCCGUUGAAACUGGCUGUCUUGAUCUGUCGAGCGGUAUGCGGCAUGCGCCGUGUAGCGGU
rnacentral:rRNA from 1 species